rnacentral:lncRNA from 1 species
UUGCUUCUCCCCACCCCCUGCUCAGGCAGGGAUUCCACGUGCCCUCUCCUUGCAUUCCUCCGGGGACAGGGAGAUCACCACUUCACCAGACAGCCUGUCUUGCCCUGGGGCAGCUCUGUUCUUGGUCACCCUGGGCUUGGAGUGCCCUCCACCUGCCCUCAGCUUCUCUCCUCCACACUGCUGUUCCUCGAGUCCCUGGAAGGGGAUGACACAGCGCAAAGGUCCUUGUGAGGACCCAGCUCCGUGCUCUGGACUUCCCAGCCUCCACAGCCAAGAGCCAGAACAAUUCCAGUUGUUUUAUUGUCACCCAGUCUCAGCUGUUCUGUUAUGGCAAAGAGUGGUUCAGACAUGGCGUGAGGGGUGACAGGGAAGUGAAGGUGAGAUCCGUCUCCCCAGGUUGCAAGGAUCUUAAAAAAUCAGGCGGCCUUCUA